GACGAACGCUGGCGGCGUGCCUAACACAUGCAAGUCGAACGGGGUCAGCCCUUCGGGACUGACUUAGUGGCGAACGGGUGAGUAACGCGUGAGUAACCUGCCUUACAGAGGGGGACAACAGUUGGAAACGACUGCUAAUACCGCAUAACGUGCUUCUGGGACAUCCCUAGAGCACCAAAGGAGCAAUCCGCUGUAAGAUGGGCUCGCGUCCGAUUAGAUAGUUGGUGAGGUAACGGCUCACCAAGUCGACGAUCGGUAGCCGGACUGAGAGGUUGAACGGCCACAUUGGGACUGAGAUACGGCCCAGACUCUACGGAGGCAGCAGUGGGGAAUAUUGGGCAAUGGGGGAAACCCUGACCCAGCAACGCCGCGUGGAG
rnacentral:rRNA from 1 species